rnacentral:rRNA from 1 species
CACGUAGGCACCAAGCGUUAUCCGGAUUUAUUGGGCGUAAAGAGCUCGUAGGCGGUUCGGUAAGUCGGGUGUGAAAACUCUGGGCUCAACCCAGAGAGGCCACCCGAUACUGCUGUGACUAGAGUGCGGUAGGGGAGCGGGGGAAUUCCUGGUGUAGCGGUGAAAUGCGCAGAUAUCAGGAGGAACACCGGUGGCGAAGGCGGGGUCUCUGGGGCCGAUACUGACGCUGAGGAGCGAAAAGCGUGGGGGAGCGAACAGG